rnacentral:rRNA from 1 species
GAUCAUGGCUCAGGAUGAACGCUGGCGGCGUGCCUAACACAUGCAAGUCGAGCGGAGAUAUCGAGCGUAUUCGUACGUAAGAGUAUUUAGCGGCGGACGGGUGAGUAACACGUGAGUAACCUGCCUUUUGCAGGGGAAUAACAUUGGGAAACCAGUGCUAAUACCGCAUAACAUCGCCGGAUGGCAUCAUCUGGCGAUCAAAGGAGAAAUCCGGCAGAAGAUGGACUCGCGUCCGAUUAGCUAGUUGGCAGGGUAAAGGCCUACCAAGGCAACGAUCGGUAGCCGAACUGAGAGGUUGAUCGGCCACAUUGGGACUGAGACACGGCCCAGACUCCUACGGGAGGCAGCAGUGGGGAAUAUUGGGCAAUGGGGGAAACCCUGACCCAGCAACGCCGCGUGAAGGACGAAGGCCUUCGGGUUGUAAACUUCUUUGAUCAGGGACGAAAAAAUGACGGUACCUGAAGAACAAGCCACGGCUAACUACGUGCCAGCCGCCGC